UACCUGGUUGAUCCUGCCAGUAGUCAUAUGCUUGUCUCAAAGCCUAAGCCAUGCAUGUCUUAGUCCAGGCCAUUUCGGUGGUUGAAACUGCGAACGGCUCAUUAAAUCAGUCAUGGUUCAUUGGAUCGUACAAUUCUACGUGGAUAACUGUGGAAAAUCUAGAGCUAAUACAUGCAACACAACUCUGACGCCUUCACCGGCGGAAGAGCGCUCUUAUUAGAUCAAGGCCAACCGGGUGCUCGCAUCCGAAAACUUUGGUGACUCUGGAUAACACGCAGCUGAUCGCAUUGGCCCUUGUGCCGGCGACACUUCCUUCAAAUGUCUGCCUUAUCAACUGUCGAUGGCAGGUGAUUUGCCUGCCAUGGUGGCGACGGGUAACGGGGAAUCAGGGUUCGAUUCCGGAGAGGGAGCCUGAGAAACGGCUACCACAUCCAAGGAAGGCAGCAGGCGCGCAAAUUACCCACUCCCGACACGGGGAGGUAGUGACGAAAAAUAACGAUGCGGGACUCUUUGGAGGCCCCGUAAUCGGAAUGAGAACACUUUAAAUCCUUGUACGAGGAUCGAUUGGAGGGCAAGUCUGGUGCCAGCAGCCGCGGUAAUUCCAGCUCCAAUAGCGUAUAUUAAAGUUGCUGCGUUUAAAAAGCUCGUAGUUGGAUCUCGGGCGAGGGACGGUCGGUGUGCGCCACAGUGCGUUCCACUGCCGUCGCGCAUCGGUUCGUGGUCGCGAGGCAGUGCGGUCGCGUUCGCGUGGCCGUGCCGCCGAGUGGCCUCGGUCGGCGUGCGAGCUACUCCCUCGCCUUACCAUCCGGCAGCUCCUCGGGUGCUCUUCGUUGAGUUGCCCGGGGUGGCCGGAAAAGUUACUUUGAGAAAACAGGAGUGCUCAAAGCAGGCAAUAUCUCGUUACGGCCAUUGAACGAGUUGUGCAUGGAAUAAUGGAAUAGGAUCUCGGUUCUGUUUCGUUGGUUUACGGUUUGCCGAGGUAAUGAUUAAGACGGACGGGCGGGGCCAUUCGUAUUGCGGCGGGAGAGGUGAAAUUCUUGGAUCGCCGCAAGACGCUCUACUGCGAAAGCAUUUGGCAAGUACGUUUUGCUUAAUCAAGAACGAAAGUCAGAGGUUCGAAGACGAUCAGAUACCGUCGUAGUUCUGACCGUAAACGAUGCCGACCGGCGAUGCGCCGCGGUCGUAUCAAUGACCCGGCGUGCAGCCUUCCCGGGAAACCUCGAGUUUUUGGGUUACGGGGGAAGUAUGGUUGCAAAGCUGAAACUUAAAGGAAUUGACGGAAGGGCACCACCAGGAGUGGAGCCUGCGGCUUAAUUUGACCCAACACGGGAAAUCCUACCCGGCCCGGACACCGUGAGGAUUGACAGAUUGAGAGCUCUUUCUCGAUUCGGUGGGUGGUGGUGCAUGGCCGUUCUUAGUUGGUGGAGCGAUCUGUCUGGUUAAUUCCGAUAACGAACGAGACUCUAGCCUGCUAAAUAGUUCGUCCGCCGCCCUUUCGGGUGGCGGUCGUGGGCAGCCUGGCGAAGUGCUGUUCGGGUGCGAGGCCCGCUGCCCCUCGGGGUGGUGACGUCACGUGCUCGGAUCGGUGCCGAGCUCUGUCCUACGUGAACUUCUUAGAGGGACUAAUGGCUUUUAGCCAUGCGAGAAUGAGCAAUAACAGGUCUGUGAUGCCCUUAGAUGUCCGGGGCCGCACGCGCGCUACAUUGAAGGUAUCAGCGAGAGUCUUUCCCGCUCCGAGAGGAGUCGGUAACCCACUGAACCACUUUCGUGAUAGGGAUUGGGCGUUGCAACUAUCGCCCAUGAACGAGGAAUUCCCAGUAAGCGCGAGUCACCAGCUCGCGUUGAUUACGUCCCUGCCCUUUGUACACACCGCCCGUCGCUACUACCGAUUGGACGUUGCAGUGAGGCUUUCGGAUCGGCCCCGAAGCUGUUGGUGGCCCCCGGGUCGCCGAUGCGUUAGGCGUGCCGAGAAGACUGUCGAACUGCUACGUCUAGAGGUCGUAAAAGUCGUAACAAGGUUUCCGUAGGUGAACCUGCGGAAGGAUCAUUA
rnacentral:rRNA from 1 species